ensembl:lncRNA novel transcript
AGAUGGACCUCCAGCCACGGCCGGGCCAGACUCGUGGACACAGGCGCAGUGUCACGUACAGACCACGGGGAGACAUGGCACUAGGGGACAAAUGGACGUGACACCACAAUGCACAGGGCAGGCCACAGAGCUCGAGGGACGUGGGCAGGGGCCUUUUGGCAUUUCUGCGCUGGAAUCAUGUGAGACAAGGGUGGUGGCCGCUCUGGAGGUGCCUGGGGGGUUCCCUCAUUACCCCUCUGGGCUUAGUCCAUCCUCCACACUGUUGUGCAGCUUCUCCACCUCCUGGUAGAGGAUAAAUACUGUUACCCUUAUCCCUGGUCACAUCCAGGGAGACGCGGUCCAGCGGCCCAGGCGGGGGACAGUGCCGUUCUAGAGGUCCUUGAGCCCCUCCUUCCUCAGGAUCUGCAGCCAUAGGCCGGUGUGUUCCGCGUUUGUGCUGCUCCAGGCCCCGCAUCCGGUCUCGAUCCCAUCCAGAGGAGCGUUUCCCAAGACACUGGCUGCGCCCACAAUGGCUCCGAAGACCCCAGCGACCAGCGGGUCCAUGGGCUUGCUGGGGUUGUCCCCUCGGUACCAGCUGUGCAGGGAGGUCAGGAGGAGAAGCAGACGGCCUGGUUCCAGCCCUGCUUUAGCGUGGGUGCCAUGAGGCCCCGACGUUUAAAGUAUUGCUGUGUGUUUCAAGUGGAGGAGGUCAUAUUACAACUGACAUUUGUCCUUGACUACUGGACAUAUCACACCAGCCCUGAUUGCAGUUAUACUUGAAGCCAGAUCUACCCUUAACGUAUAUUCAUUUUACUAUUCAAUAAAUAUUAACUUAUCAUGAAUGGUA